UUGUUUAAUUUUAGUUUUUUUUUUUUUUUAUUUUUUUUUUUGAUAAAAAUAGCUGUUCAUUUAUCUAUUUAAUGCAAUUUUUAAAAUAUUGACCAGUUUAGAUUGCGUGGCCUCAUC
rnacentral:ribozyme from 12 species